UACGUAGGGUGCGAGCGUUAAUCGGAAUUACUGGGCGUAAAGCGUGCGUAGACGGUUGCGUAAGUCAGAUGUGAAAGCCCCCGGGCUCAACCUGGGAAUUGCAUUUGAGACUGCGUAGCUAGGGUGCGGAAGAGGGAAGCGGAAUUUCCGGUGUAGCGGUGAAAUGCGUAGAUAUCGGAAGGAACACCAGUGGCGAAAAGCGGCUUCCUGGUCCAGCACCGACGUCAGGCACGAAAGCGUGGGGAGCAAACAGG
rnacentral:rRNA from 1 species